UACGUAGGGUGCAAGCGUUGUCCGGAAUUAUUGGGCGUAAAGAGCUCGUAGGCGGUCUGUCGCGUCUGCUGUGAAAUCCCGGGGCUCAACUCCGGGCUUGCAGUGGAUACGGGCAGACUAGAGUUCGGUAGGGGAGACUGGAAUUCCUGGUGUAGCGGUGAAAUGCGCAGAUAUCAGGAGGAACACCGGUGGCGAAGGCGGUUCUCUGGGCCUUACCUGACGCUGAGGAGCGAAAGCGUGGGGAGCGAACAGG
rnacentral:rRNA from 1 species